rnacentral:rRNA from 1 species
UGUGCACUUACUGUAGGUUGGCGUGGGUUUCUAGCCUCCGGGCUGGGAGCAUUCUGCCGGCCUAUGUACACUACAAACUUCUAAAGUAUCAGAAUGUAAACGCGUCUAACGCAUCUUAAUACAACUUUCAGCAACGGAUCUCUUGGCUCUCGCAUCGAUGAAGAACGCAGCGAAAUGCGAUAAGUAAUGUGAAUUGCAGAAUUCAGUGAAUCAUCGAAUCUUUGAACGCACCUUGCGCUCCUUGGUAUUCCGAGGAGCAUGCCUGUUUGAGUGUCAUGAAAUUCUCAACCCAUAAGUCCUUGUGAUCUAUGGGCUUGGAUUUGGAGGCUUGCUGGCCCUAGCGGUCGGCUCCUUCUUGAAUGCAUUAGCUUGAUUCCGUGCGGAUCGGCUCUCAGUGUGAUAAUUGUCUACGCUGUGACCGUGAAGCGUUUUGGCAAGCUUCUAACCGUCCAUUAGGACAAUCUUUCAACAUCUGACCUCAAAUCAGGUAGGACUACCCGCUGAACUUAAGCAUAUCAAUAAGCGGAGGAAAAGAAACUAACAAGGAUUCCCCUAGUAACUGCGAGUGAAGCGGGAAAAGCUCAAAUUUAAAAUCUGGCGGUCUUUGGCCGUCCGAGUUGUAGUCUGGAGAAGCGUUUUCCGCGUUGGACCGUGUACAAGUCUCUUGGAACAGAGCGUCAUAGAGGGUGAGAAUCCCGUCUUUGACACGGACUACCAAUGCUUUGUGAUGCGCUCUCAAAGAGUCGCGUUGUUUGGGAAUGCAGCGCAAAAUGGGAAGGUGAAUUCCUUCUAAAGCUAAAUAUUGGCGAGAGACCGAUAGCGAACAAGUACCGUGAGGGAAAGAUGAAAAGCACUUUGGAAAGAGAGUUAAACAGUACGUGAAAUUGCUGAAAGGGAAACGCUUGAAGUCAGUCGCGUCGUCCGGAACUCAGCCUUGCUUCGGCUUGGUGCACUUUCCGGAUGACGGGCCAGCAUCGAUUUUGACCGCUGGAAAAGGGCUGGAGGAAUGUGGCACCUUCGGGUGUGUUAUAGCCUUCAGUCGCAUACAGCGGUUGGGAUCGAGGAACGC